rnacentral:misc_RNA from 1 species
CGCACAUUGCGCCCGCCAGUAUUCUGGCGGGCAUGCCUGUUCGAGCGUCAUUUCAACCCUCAAGCCUGGCUUGGUGUUGGGGACCGGCCCCUCCCCGCCCUCUGUGGCGGGCGGGCGCCGCCCCCGAAAUAAAUUGGCGGUCUCGCCGCAGCCUCCUCUGCGUAGUAGCACAAACAACCUCGCAACGGGAGCGCGGCGCGGCCACUGCCGUAAAACGCACAACUUCUUUUAGAGUUGACCUCGGAUCAGGUAGGAAUACCCGCUGAACUUAA